rnacentral:rRNA from 1 species
CCUACGGGGUGCUGCAGUGAGGAAUAUUGGUCAAUGGACGAGAGUCUGAACCAGCCAAGUAGCGUGAAGGAUGACUGCCCUAUGGGUUGUAAACUUCUUUUAUAUGGGAAUAGAAUGUUCCACGUGUGGGAUUUUGUAUGUACCAUAUGAAUAAGGAUCGGCUAACUCCGUGCCAGCAGCCGCGGUAAUACGGAGGAUCCGAGCGUUAUCCGGAUUUAUUGGGUUUAAAGGGAGCGUAGGUGGAUUGUUAAGUCAGUUGUGAAAGUUUGCGGCUCAACCGUAAAAUUGCAGUUGAAACUGGCAGUCGUGAGUACAGUAGAGGUGGGCGGAAUUCGUGGUGUAGCGGUGAAAUGCUUAGAUAUCACGAAGAACUCCGAUUGCGAAGGCAGCUCACUGGACUGCAACUGACACUGAGGCUCGAAAGUGUGGGUAUCAAACAGGAUUAGAUACCCCGGUAGUC